rnacentral:lncRNA from 1 species
CUUCGAGCUCAAUGUUCAUCGCUGUUGCUCCCUAGAUUGAUUUUGAUGAUUACAAAGCAGUUGAAGGGGUACUAAUAAUUUUCAUUUGAAAAAGACUUUUUGCUCUUCAGGGGCAAAAUCAUAAUUUUACCAAAACUCUGAUUUAAUAGUAUCAAAUGGUAGAAUAAAAGAUUUAUGAUCUAUUGGCAAAAAUUUUAUUAUUUUUGGACUUGUAUUUUGAAAGAUAUGCAUGUUUGAAAAUCAUGAGUCGACCCAUGAGUCAACUCAUGGCACAUGAGCUGUUUGGCAUGCAGAUUUUUUGGC